CUACAAUAUUGUGGCAUACAAUUCUACAAUAUUUAUUCAUGAUUUCAUUAUUUGCUAUCUAUACAUUCUACAUCCUCUCUCAUUCAUUCAUUCCUCUUCACUAGCAGCAAUGUAAAGUUGUUAUCUUGACUAAUGUGCCUAUGUAUAUUAUUAUAAUUCAUUUAUACGUAUUUCGAUGAUAUUUUAUUCAUGAUACUAGUAUUUUAUUAAAAAAAAAAAAAAAUGUAUAUGUUUAGUGGUACUUAUUACGCAUUUCUCGUAUUUGUCAUAACCGUAAUCCAUAUUAUAUAAUACAAUAUAUACUUUAUUAGUUUGUUUUUAUUUAUUUUUUCCGCCCUCGUUUAUCUCGUCCGAAUACGCAGUGCGCAAUAAUGUUUGUUUUUGGAUUCUGUCGUCACGAACGCCACCGUCGAGACUAUAAAUACUCGUAUAUU